rfam:Candidate division WOR-1 bacterium RIFOXYC2_FTLL_46_14 rifoxyc2_full_scaffold_351, whole genome shotgun sequence.
GGAGGGGUAGCAAAGCGGUCAAAUGCACCUGACUGUAAAUCAGGCGGCUUAUGCCUUCGAAGGUUCAAAUCCUUCCCCCUCCA